UUUAAUUCGAAGCAACGCGAAGAACCUUACCUAAGCGUGACAUCCCAAUGACAUCUCCUUAAUCGGAGAGUUCCCUGCGGGGACAUUGGUGACAGGUGGUGCAUGGUUGUCGUCAGCUCGUGUCGUGGGAUGUUGGGUUAAGUCCCGCAACGAGCGCAACCCUUGUCUUUAGUUGCCAUCAUUAAGUUGGGCACUCUAGAGAGACUGCCAGGGAUAACCUGGAGGAA
rnacentral:rRNA from 1 species